GCGCACGGUGGCUUAGUGGUUAGCACGUUCGCCUCACACCUCCAGGGAACAAGGUGAUUCCAGGGUCCGGGGUUCGAUUCCCGCCGGGGCC